rnacentral:misc_RNA from 1 species
GAUGAAGAACGCAGCGAAAUGCGAUAAGUAAUGUGAAUUGCAGAAUUCAGUGAAUCAUCGAAUCUUUGAACGCACAUUGCGCCCCCUGGUAUUCCGGGGGGCAUGCCUGUCCGAGCGUCAUUACAACCCUCAAGCUCAGCUUGGUGUUGGGCCCCGCCGCCCCGGCGGGCCCUAAAGUCAGUGGCGGUGCCGUCCGGCUCCGAGCGUAGUAAUUCUUCUCGCUCUGGAGGUCCGGUCGUGUGCUCGCCAGCAACCCCCACUUUUUUUCAGGUUGACCUCGGAUCAGGUAGGGAUACCCGCUGAACUUAAGCAUAUCAAUAAGCGGAA